ensembl:lncRNA PURPL p53 upregulated regulator of p53 levels
ACACAGGCGGCUGGAUGUCAAGAGGAGCACAACAGAGGAGGAACACAGAGGUGGCUAGACACAGAGAGUAACACACUGACGGCUGGACAUACGGAGUAAAACACCGACAGGCACGGGCACCCUGGCAGGCCACCGACCAUUAGAAAUAGAAUGACAUGGAGUUUAGCUGGGGCAGUCAGAGGAGAGCCCAGGCUGCUGAACGGCUCGACUCUAGGGGAAACCCUUCCCACUCCACCCCUUCUGACUUUCCGAGAGCUGCUUCCACCCAAUAAAACCUUGCAAUCAUUCUCCAAGCCCAGGUGUGAUCAGAUUCUUUCGGUACAUCAAGGAUCUCUCCCUGUGGUGCCUAGGUUGGUUUAAAACUCUUGGCCUCAAGCGAUCCUCCCACCUUGAAUUCCCAAAGCAAGGUGCUAUUAGUAAUUGGCUCAGAGAACUCGCCAUUAGGGGCAGUGCAUCACUUAACAAUGGCUGGGCGUGAAAGAGAGCCCUGCUCUACUGACCCUUCAAUGUGCCCGUGUGCCUAAAUAUUCCUGGUCGUGUGAAAAGAACCCAGGUAUUAGCUGAACUAAGGAGCACAAUUCUGCAACAUUUUGGCACCCAAACACGGGGCUUGAGAAAUGAAUGCAAUUGGAGAAACUGGUUGUUUUACCAGGCGUUGAUUGGAAAUGUGUGCUUCCCUUUAAGCAGUCAAGCUCAACUUGCAGAACUGAUGGGAACCCCUUGGGAAAACUGGCCUCAAAUGUUUGUCUACACAGUCCACAUACAGGGUUCUUAACCUGCGAUGAGGGAAACUUCCCAGGGCUUGUCUGGGUAUGCCCACAGUGGACUGGAGCCCAAAAUGCACACUGGAGGAAGUGGAUGGAGCCACGUGGAUGUCAUGCCUUAUGCAGGGGAGGAGCCUGCUCUCUUCAGCUCCUGUGGUAAUGUGGGAAUCGAUCUGUGAGGAAACACUUUCUGAAAAUGUCAGAACUCUUGAAAACAUGGAUGAGGAAAAGCAUAAGUACUGCUUUAUGCUUUUCUUAUGAAUUUUAAAAGAUGUAAUUUAAAGAUUGAAACUCCCACAACUUUGGCAGACCAACUCCUCAGAAAACAUUAUUCUUUGACAUCAAUAUGUUUUGCACAAAAUUGAAUGGCAAGUGAAAGGCAUCAAAUGAUGGAGUCUUGUUCUGUGGUCCAGGCUAGAGGGCAGUGGCAUGAUCUCGGCUCACUACAAGCUCUGCCUCCCGGGUUCACGCCAUUCUCCUGCCUCAGCCUCCUGAGUAGCUGGGACUACAGGCGCCCGCCACCACGCCUGGCUAAUUUUUUGUAUAUUUACUAGAGAUGGCUAGUGUUAGCCAAGAUGGUCUCGAUCUCCUGACCUCGUGAUCUGCCCACCUCAGCCUGCCAAAGUGCUGGGAUUACUGGCGUGAGCCACCGUGCCUGGCCAGCAUCCUCUAAUUAUUAUUCAUAGUUUGUGAAUUUAGGCCUACGUGAAUAAUAAUAUAAUAUUUACUAUGAUGUUACUAUCUACCAACCUUAUUUUUCUUUUCUAUAAAAUAGGAGCCAAAAUAAUAUUUAUGUCAUACCUUAUGAAGUUAAAAUAAAAUAUAACGAAUGAGGGGCUUAACAA